rnacentral:rRNA from 1 species
AGCCUGCCCAGUGACUAAGUUAAACGGCCGCGGUACCCUAACCGUGCAAAGGUAGCGCAAUCACUUGUUCUUUAAAUGAGGACUAGUAUGAACGGCAUCACGAGGGUUACACUGUCUCCCUAUUCCAUUCAGUGAAACUGAUCUUCCCGUGAAGAAGCGGGAAUAUAAAUAUAAGACGAGAAGACCCCAUGGAGCUUUAAACUCAAUGUCAUCUGCCACUUCAAUACCCUCUUAAUUACGCAGACCAUGAUAACUAGUUUUCGGUUGGGGUGACCGCGGAGUAAAACAAAACCUCCACAACGAAAGGAACUAACAACCUAAUCCAAGAGCAACAUCUCUAAGAAUCAACAAAUUGACUUAAUUGAUCCAAUUACUUGAUCAACGAACCAAGUUACCCUGGGGAUAACAGCGCAAUCCAUUUCAAGAGCUCAUAUCGACAAAUGGGUUUACGACCUCGAUGUUGGAUCAGGGUAUCCCAGUGGCGCAGCAGCUACUAACGGUUCGUUUGUUCAACGAUUAAA